UGCAAAUGCUGGAGUGGCAAUAUACCUGUGCUGCGCUUGCUGAUCCAAGUGUCAACUUUGCCUUUCCUUGGAAGAGGUUCCAGUUUCCAGCUCCUUGCCUUGUCUUCAGAAUCCAUGCCGAGUUUCCAGUUUCAGGAGAGCCGUGCCAAGUCACAACUCCCGAGUAGACCUUGCCUUGUUACUGCGACUUCCUUGUUCCUGAAUCAAGAUUGACUUUGCUUUGUUUACCUUGCUUCUUUGACUUUGCUACAGGACUUUUCAAGCGGAUUUGCAGUGCUUUGUUCCCACUAUUGCUUCAUGGACAAACUUUGAUUUCUAAAGGAAGCUAUCGAGUUUCACUUGUGGAUUACAAAUUGGACAUUGAUAAACUCUUUCUGAAUUGCAAUAGACUAUAUAUUAUGGACUAUUCCUUACUCUAACUUUCCACCUUAAAUGUGCAUAGAUAUAUAUAUUCUGCUUCAAUAAAUGGCUUGUGUGUUAUAUUGGCUCUGGUUUUCGGGUGCUCGCGCUGCCUUCGGGUGCAACAAUCCCUCUCUUGGAAUCUCUAGGUCCUUAAGCAUGAUGGUAUGUUUAAUGUCCAUCUGAAAAUUGAUCACAGAGUAGUGCUGGAAGAAAUUCCCAGAGAGCCAUUCCCCCAGGUAAAAACAUUGCAAUUUUUAAUUGGUGGUGUUUAACAUUCAUAAGGGUGCUGUGCCGCUAACCCCAACCAAUGAGGAGGACUGACUGUACUGUGUGUGGUAGCUGAUAGGUGGAGGCAGAUGGUUUCAAUAGCAACUGACACAGAUGUGCAUUAUCGGUUACUGCCAACGUCCAAUACUUUCAGCUAAACAAAGUCAGUUUGCUGGAUUGGGGCAAACUCAGCAGUGAAAGUAUCACCCGUAUCUUUGCUCUUGCCUUGACUCCAUUCUUCUUUCUAGAGAAGGACAAGAUCAACCAACUGGGCUAGUUGAGUGCAAAGCAUGUCAAAAUCUGUUUCCAGGCUAUAGGAGGAGGGGGAAAUCGGGACUUUUGAUGAAAGCUAAGUUUCUGGAAAUGCAGAACACUAGCUGUGGUCGUUGCAACUGGUGUGUGGCAACUGGAGGUUAUGUGUGAAAAGUUUUUAUAGUGUAGUAAAGUAUUAUUAAUGUUUUAACAUCUAAAAAAUACAUGUAGGGUUUUUUAAGCCCAGAAAUAUGUUUCAUGCACAGGAAGCAGUGUUUUUGGGCAAAAUGCACUGUUAUCUGGGGAAAAACACACUUUCUAUAUAGAAAACAUAUUCUCCCUAACUCUUUACACAAAAUUACCUGUUUGGAGAUAUGUGUGCAGAAAACAUAUUUUCUAUACACGUAACUCUAAACAGUGAAUUUUGUGUAAAGAGUUUGGGAGGGACCUCUUGAACUCUGAAGAGCUGUUGUUAUUCUACCUCAUACUCAAAGACAAUAGACUUAAAGACAAUAGGAACAUAAUUAUUUAAAAUGUCAAACCCUAAUUGACACCUACUUGUUUUAGUAAACCCAUUUCAGUACAUGAUCAUUCAAUGAAAGGGAUCUAAUAACUCUGUCAGUGAUUCUUUUCAGUUUGACAGGAUAUCCAAUUAUUACCUUAGUGCUGCCAGUAGAUUCUAGUAGUACUGAAAUCAGGCUUCCCCUGCUGCUGUUAGACUUUAUGUACUGGUAAGCCCAGUCAACAUGAUCAAUGAGCAAGGAUUCUGAGAGUUGUAGUUGCUGAUAAGUGUGAAAAUGAGCUUGAUUGUUAAGUGGAGCAAUUUGUAUUUCUGUUUUCCAGAGAGAACUUUGUAAUGUACUCUAUUAUGGUGACUUAGGAAGAAAUAUUUAAAAAACACAUAAUUGCAGCAGGAAAAGUCAAACCAAAAAAUCUUAUUAUUUAUCAUAUAUACUGUUCCAGUUAUUUUUAGGAAUUUCUUCCAACCUGAGUUCUUCCCCACAUCCAAACCUUUAAAAUUCACUUUACAGAAGCAGAUGGAAUACAACAAAUAAAUUUCACAAUCUUCAGAUAUAACCCUCUUUCAACAGGAGAAUUUAAUACUUGAGAGAUGCAUCACAUCUAUGCCCCAUAGUGAGAUCCAACGUUAGUUUCUGCCAUUCAAAAUAUAUAUAAAGAAGUGGCUUGGCGCAUUUUUAUCUACUGUGCAGUUUGUUGGAUUUGGUUUUAAUGAUCCAGCUUUUUCAAGGCAAUUUCUUUAUCAACAUUACAGCAAGGAAAGAGCAAGAGGCAAAAACAGGCUCUGAUGUGACAGCCAUUUGGAAGAAUGUUUCCUUCCUGGCUGCAUUUCUAAGCACAUCUACUCUGGAAGUUUGAAAUCAAUAGACCUGGAUUUCACAUAUAUUAUGGGGUAAAAAGGGAGGGCUUAACAUCUGGCUUUUGGCUUAACUAGUCAUGGUUGGACCAGGUAAAAAGCUCAAUGCAUGCCUUCAGUUAAUAUGUAUAUGCUUUUAUAAUAAAAGCAGUGGAUGAAUUGAGGAAAGAGUCAGGAGUGAGUAAUGGCAUUUAGUGGCCUUCUUUCCAAUAGGAUGCUGAAUCAACUAUAUCUUUAAGUCUGAAUGGUAGAGGAGCUAUCCAAGGUGCUAAAUCCUAUUCCCAAUAUGAGUUUAAAAUCAGUCUCAAUCAGUUCUUUUAAAUUUCGCACUAAAAUUCACUGCCUUUCUGACAUGGAAUCCACCAGCCACCAUUCAGAUUGGGGCUUUGGCAUAUUUUAACCUUGAUCUCUCAUGCUGUGGUCACCCCCUCUACUGUUUUCAUUAAACUUCAAAAUUAAUUUUUAGUGAUUUGGGACAAAGGAUUAGCUGUCUGGAUUACUGUAGGUGAGGCUACUGCUUCCUAGGAAUUUCAUUGCCUUGAUAAAGGAGCACGACAGUUCUCAAAAGUGUUUUGAGAUGGUCACUCCACUACAGAGGACAUACAAAGUUUCCAAGAAAGAUGUGGGUCCAUGAAAAUGAUAAUUAAUUACUUCCAGCCCCAGCCCUAUAGUUCCAGCCCAAGCAUUGCCCUGCCCUCUCAAAUCUAAACAUGCCCACUUUUUCCGGUUACUGGUUGUUGAUGUUGAUUGAUGUUUUUUUAUGAUGUUUUCACUUCUCUGGUUUUAAUUGUUUUAAUUAUAUUGUUUAUUGUUAUAUGUUUUUAAUAAUGUAACUUUGUAAUCCUUGUUUAUGCUGGGCUUGGUCCCCAUGUAAGCCAUCCCGAGUUCCUUCGGGGAUAUGGUGGCGAGAUAUAAUAAUAAAGUUGUUGUUGAUGCUGUUGUUAUUAUUAUUGACACAAUGACAUUGUAUGACACUUUAAACAAGAUAGAUAUGCUGGAUUUCGUAUCACAAGUCGAACACUUCCCAAGCGUUUAGGACUGUGUGAUGUAUUUUUGGAUGAUGCGCGCAGAUCCCAGUAGGAUGGCCUUUUGCAGUUGGCAGAUCAUAAUUUUG
ensembl:lncRNA